rnacentral:rRNA from 1 species
GGAAGUAAAAGUCGUAACAAGGUCUCCGUUGGUGAACCAGCGGAGGGAUCAUUACCGAGUUUUCAACUCCCUAACCCUUAUGUGAACCUACCUAUUGUUGCUUCGGCGGACUCGCCCCAGCCGGACGCGGACUGGACCAGCGGCCGCCGGGGGCCCUUAAACUCUUGUAUUAUCAGCACCUUCUGAAUACGCCGCAAAGCAAAACAAACAAAUCAAAACUUUCAACAACGGAUCUCUUGGCUCUGGCAUCGAUGAAGAACGCAGCGAAACGCGAUAAGUAAUGUGAAUUGCAGAAUCCAGUGAAUCAUCGAAUCUUUGAACGCACAUUGCGCCCGCCAGCAUUCUGGCGGGCAUGCCUGUUCGAGCGUCAUUUCAACCCUCGACCUCCCUUUGGGGAAGUCGGCGUUGGGGACCGGCAGCACACCGCCGGCCCUGAAAUGGAGUGGCGGCCCGUCCGCGGCGACCUCUGCGUAGUAAUCCAACUCGCACCGGAACCCCGACGCGGCCACGCCGUAAAACACCCAACUUCUGAACGUUGACCUCGAAUCAGGUAGGACUACCCGCUGAACUUAAGCAUAUCAAUAAGCGGAGGA